AUACGGAGGGUGCAAGCGUUACUCGGAAUCACUGGGCGUAAAGCGCGCGCAGGCGGCUAUUUAAGUUGGAUGUGAAAGCCUACGGCUCAACCGUAGAACUGCAUCCAAAACUAUUUAGCUAGAGUGUGGGAGAGGAAGAUGGAAUUAGUUGUGUAGGGGUAAAAUCCGUAGAGAUAACUAGGAAUACCAAAAGCGAAGGCAAUCUUCUGGAACACUACUGACGCUGAGGCGCGAAAGCGUGGGGAGCAAACGGGAUUAGAAACCCUGGUAGUCC
rnacentral:rRNA from 1 species